rnacentral:tRNA from 1 species
GCGCCGGUGGUGUAAGGCGAACAUCGCUGCCCGGAAAGCAGGAGAUGCGGGUUCGAGUCCUGCCUGGCGCA